CAGCUGGUAGCACAGGGGUUAGAGCUACUGCCCUUGGAUCCAAUGUCAAAGGUUCGAUCUCCUUUCCAGCUGU
rnacentral:tRNA from 1 species